rnacentral:rRNA from 1 species
GGCUCUUUGAAAUUAUUAUAUAUAAAGAGUCAAGCCUGCCCAGUGAUAUAUUAUUUAACGGCCGCAGUAUUUUGACUGUGCAAAGGUAGCAUAAUCAUUUGCCCUAUAAUUGAGGGCUUGUAUGAAUGGUUCGACAAGAACAAAACUGUCUCUAAUUAAUCUUUUUAAAUUAACUUUUAGGUGAAGAGGCCUAAAUUAAACUAAAAGACGAGAAGACCCUAUUGAGCUUUAAAAAUCAUUUAGAAAAACUAAUAAUAAAUUUUUGGUUGGGGCGACCGAGGAACAAUUAAAGCUUCCUUAAAUUUAAAAACCUUCAAGUAUUGAUCCAAUAAUAUUGAUCAAAAAAAUAAGUUACCAUAGGGAUAACCAGCGUAAUUUUCUUUGAGAGUUCAUAUUAAAAAGAAACUUUGCGACCUCGAUGUUGGACUAGAGAGUAUCCUAAAGAUGUAGAAGUCUUUAAGGGUUGGUCUGUUCGACCAUUAAAACUUU